AACGAACGCUGGCGGCAUGCCUAACACAUGCAAGUCGAACGAGACCUUUCGGGGUCUAGUGGCGCACGGGUGCGUAACGCGUGGGAAUCUGCCCUUGGGUUCGGAAUAACACAGAGAAAUUUGUGCUAAUACCGGAUGAUGUCUUCGGACCAAAGAUUUAUCGCCCAAGGAUGAGCCCGCGUAGGAUUAGGUAGUUGGUGGGGUAAUGGCCUACCAAGCCGACGAUCCUUAGCUGGCUGAGAGGAUGAUCAGCCACACUGGGACUGAGACACGGCCCAGACUCCUACGGGAGGCAGCAGUGGGGAAGUAUUGGACAAUGGGCGAAAGCCUGAUCCAGCAAUGCCGCGUGAGUGAUGAAGGCCUUAGGGUUGUAAAGACUCUUUUACCUAGGGAUGAUAAUGACAGUACCUGAGAAUAAGCUCCGGCUAACUCCGUGCCAGCCGCCGCCGUAA
rnacentral:rRNA from 1 species